CCUACGGGCGGCAGCAGUCGAGAAUCAUUCACAAUGGGGGAAACCCUGAUGGGGCGACGCCGCGUGGGGGAAUGAAGGUCUUCGGAUUGUAAACCCCUGUCAUGUGGGAGCAAAUUAAAAAGAUAGUACCACAAGAGGAAGAGACGGCUAACUCUGUGCCAGCAGCCGCGGUAAUACAGAGGUCUCAAGCGUUGUUCGGAAUCACUGGGCGUAAAGCGUGCGUAGGCUGUUUCGUAAGUCGUGUGUGAAAGGCGCGGGCUCAACCCGCGGACGGCACAUGAUACUGCGAGACUAGAGUACUGGAGAGGGAACCGGAAUUCUCGGUGUAGCAGUGAAAUGCGUAGAUAUCGAGAGGAACACUCGUGGCGAAGGCGGGUUCCUGGACAUUAACUGACGCUGAGGCACGAAGGCCAGGGGAGCGAAAGGGAUUAGAUACCCCUGUAGUC
rnacentral:rRNA from 1 species